GCCAUGUAAAAGUUAGGUAAAUUGUUAUCAUCCCAUUUCUGUUCUUCCUUUCGCUCUUCUUUCCAUCUUAAUUAAUUGUCAAUAUCUGCACCUGUAUCCCCAGUUGUCAUCCUUUCCUACUCACAUACAAAGGGCUUGGUUUCUCCAAUAGGAAAUGUAACUUAAUUUUUUUUUUUUUUUUUAUUAUAUUCAUUAAUUGAACCA